rnacentral:rRNA from 1 species
CUAUCAGUUCGCAUGGACACGAUAGCCAAAGGAGAAAUCCGCUUUAAGAUGGGCUCACGGCUGAUUAGCCAGUUGGCGGGGUAACGGCCCACCAAAGCAAUGAUCAGUAGCCGAGCUGAGAGGCUCAACGGCCACAUGGGACUGAGACACGGCCCAGACUCUACGGGAGGCAAGCAGUCGGGAAUAUUGCACAAUGGAGGAAACUCUGAUGCAGUGACGCCGCGUAUAGGAAGAAGGUCUUUGGAUUGUAAACUAUUGUCAACGGGGAAGAAAAAAAUGACAGUACCUGUGGAGGAAGCUCCGGCUAACUACGUGCCAGCAGCCGCGGUAAUACGUAGGGAGCGAGCGUUAUCCGGAUUUAUUGGGUGUAAAGGGCGCGUAGACGGAUUUGCAAGUUGGAUGUGAAAUCCCUGGGCUUAACCCAGGAACUGCAUCCAAAACUGUAAACCUUGAGUAUGGGAGAGGAAAGCGGAAUUCCUAGUGUAGCGGUGAAAUGCGUAGAUAUUAGGAGGAACACCAGUGGCGAAGGCGGCUUUCUGGACCAAAACUGACGUUGAGGCGCGAAAGUGUGGGGAGCAAACAGGAUUAGAUACCCUGGUAGUCCACACCGUAAACGAUGGAUACUAGGUGUAGGGUGGUUAACCCCAUUCUGUGCCGGCGUUAACACAAUAAGUAUCCCACCUGAGUAGUACGACCGCAAGGUUAAAACUCAAAGGAAUUGACGGGGGCCCGCACAAGCAGUGGAGUAUGUGGUUUAAUUCGAAGCAACGCGAAGAACCUUACCAGGGCUUGACAUACAUAGGAAUUACUAAGAGAUUAGUAAGUCUUUCGGGACCUAUGAACAGGUGGUGCAUGGUUGUCGUCAGCUCGUGUCGUGAGAUGUUGGGUUAAGUCCCGCAACGAGCGCAACCCCUAUUGUUAGUUGCCAGCAAGUAAAGUUGGGCACUCUAGCGAGACUGCCGUAGAUAAUACGGAGGAAGGUGGGGAUGACGUCAAAUCAUCAUGCUCUUUAUGUCCUGGGCUACACACGUACUACAAUGGGGAAGUACAGAGGGAAGCAAAACCGCGAGGUGGAGCAAAACCCUAAAACUUCUCUCAGUUCAGAUUGCAGUCUGAAAUUCGACUGUAUGAAGAUGGAAUUGCUAGUAAUUGCAGGUCAGCAUACUGCAGUGAAUACGUUCUCGGGCCUUGUACACCGCCCGUC